UCCCCGUGGUGAAUUCCUUUGACGUGCUAGCAUAUACCCAAGGACCUUUUCUCGUGCUGCAAAUUACUCCUACUCCGUAAGUAGAAACUCUCGAGCUUGCGUAAGCCAGGGUAAUUGUCAUUUAUCAGGGUGAGAAACGACAGGGACGAAUAGUCGACGGUGCACCUCACACCUACCACUCGUGACCAGCUAGCGAGAGAGAGCAACGUCACGUGGAGAAAGCAAAAAGGUUGCCAGAAUCUGGAAUUUGGCGUGCCAACUUUUCUUCCGGAAAGAUCUUUCGCCACGCGCGAACGCUAGCCCGUCCGUCCGUCCAUGUAAACCUGGCCGGCCGUGUGCCAGGAUCGGUCGCACGCGUGUGGGUUGAUCGUGUGUCAAUGUCAGGUUGACGGCGACGGCGGAGCCGUCGUACGGCCCUCCUUGUACGAGGAAGGAGCCACACUAGGAGGGGUAGGAACUUGUUUUAAGACGCAGGAAUUGUAGCACAGGUGUGCUCUGAAGUCUGAACUUUUCAACGAGGCGUAUGUUCUCUGCCGAACUUACCACACCAGAUGGAGGACUAGCUUGGGAGUAUCCAAACAAGUCAGAGAGCCGGUCCGUGACGUCCGUCGAUGUCUUGCAAUUUGCCUGGCAUAUCAUUCAUGGAGACGCCGAGACGGGCGUGGAAUUGUGUGAUUUCUGCGGCUGCACGCACGCAGUAAACUUACCCUGUAAAAAAAGAAAUUUCGGGAGAACCAUGAUCGCUGCCCGCUGGCCUGCUGGGGGAUUGGAUGGCCUGCAUGCGCCGCACCGUUUUACCGCUACACAGGAGCAGAAUAGCAGACUCGCAGUGAUGAUUUUGCAACGCUCGCAAUUUUUUUUUUGAUUAUAAGGAUCAUAAAGUCGCAGAAAUUAUCAAUCUCCCUAGUCUGAACUCCAACUGGAUUUUUCUUUUGCGAGGAACCCAACUAGAAAUUUUGUACUCAGACACCUAGCACUUCUCUUUACCUGUUAGUGCUACAACAUGACAAAUACAUUCAUUUCACGGUCAGGAAA